rnacentral:rRNA from 1 species
AUUGAACGCUGGCGGCAUGCUUUACACAUGCAAGUCGAACGGUAACAGGUUAAGCUGACGAGUGGCGAACGGGUGAGUAAUGCAUCGGAACGUGCCCGAUCGUGGGGGAUAACGCAGCGAAAGCUGCGCUAAUACCGCAUACGAUCGGAGGAUGAAAGCGGGGGACCGUAAGGCCUCGCGCGAUCGGAGCGGCCGAUGUCAGAUUAGGUAGUUGGUGGGGUAAAGGCUCACCAAGCCAACGAUCUGUAGCUGGUCUGAGAGGACGACCAGCCACACUGGGACUGAGACACGGCCCAGACUCCUACGGGAGGCAGCAGUGGGGAAUUUUGGACAAUGGGCGAAAGCCUGAUCCAGCAAUGCCGCGUGCAGGAAGAAGGCCUUCGGGUUGUAAACUGCUUUUGUACGGAGCGAAAAGGCCCUCUCUAAUACAGGGGGUUUAUGACGGUACCGUAAGAAUAAGCACCGGCUAACUACGUGCCAGCAGCCGCCGUAA